GACCAUGACCAAAGUCACAUGCGGAAAGAAAUAUUUACUUUACAUAAUCAUACAAACUGAGCUUGAGGACUGUAAUAGGAAAUAUUGGUACAAGGUCGUGAUAAUUAUGAACUGAGGGCCAAUAUUCUUUUGUACAACUUAAGCAGGCUAGUGUGGUAAGUAAAUUAAUUUACAGGACUUGUGCCUUUGUGGUUUCUUUUUUCUGCAAAAUAGCUCCUCAGGCUACUUGAAUUUAAUGGGCUUUUCUUGUAAUAUUUUUUGAUGAUGGAAGCAUCUCAUGUAGAACAAGCUACUUGUGUAAGGUGGUAGGAUAGGUUAAACUUGCCUACUUGGUUGACCAAACAUUAAACAGGAUUUGCCUCAUUGCAUCAACUUGUAUUGUGAGCUAUAUCAUAAAAAAUGUUUUCAGAAACACUAUCUCUCUAACUUCAUUUUAGAACAGUAUGUAACAUGUUGCUGGUGGCGAAGAAUUUCUUUUGUACAUUCAUGAUUUAGUGCAGGGAAAAGAGUAUUUCAAAUGUGCUGAGAACCAUGGAAUCUUUGUGCGUCAGUCUCAAAUAGCUGUUCUUCAGGAUGCACCAACCUCCCCAUCACCUCAGCGUGGAUCGUCCACUCGCAGCAGCAUUGGUGGAGGAACUUCCAUUCCUUUACCAUCAUCAAUGAGGAAAGAGAAGUCUUUUGGGUCAAGGGGUUCCUUAGAGAAUGUUGGUAGCAGACCAUCGCCACCUUCCUCUAGGUUAGCAACACCAAAAACCAGCACAACUACUGCUCCUGAGCUAUCAUCAAACAGUUCCCUGAGCAAGAUUCCAGCAGCUGCUUCAACUCCUUUGCCAUCAGGCCCAAGAAAGAUGUCUUCAGGACCAGCAAUAUCAGCUGAUGAGUAUAUGGCUCUUCAAAAGAAGGUUAG